GAAGCGGCAACAGCUCAAAUUUGAAAUCUGGCGCAAGCCCGAGUUGUAAUUUGUAGAGGAUGCUUCUGGGUAGCGGCCGGUCUAAGUUCCUUGGAACAGGACGUCAUAGAGGGUGAGAAUCCCGUAUGUGAUUGGCUUGCACCCUCCACGUAGCUCCUUCGACGAGUCGAGUUGUUUGGGAAUGCAGCUCUAAAUGGGAGGUAAAUUUCUUCUAAAGCUAAAUACCGGCCAGAGACCGAUAGCGCACAAGUAGAGUGAUCGAAAGAUGAAAAGCACUUUGGAAAGAGAGUUAAAAAGCACGUGAAAUUGUUGAAAGGGAAGCGCCCGCAACCAGACUUUGCGGCAGUGUUCGGCCGGUCUUCUGACCGGUUUACUCGCUGUCGUGAGGCCAUCAUCGUCUGGGACCGCUGGAUAAGACCUUAGGAAUGUAGCUCCCUUCGGGGAGUGUUAUAGCCUCUGGUGAUGCAGCGCGUCUCGGGCGAGGUCCGCGCUUCGGCAAGGAUGAUGGCGUAAUGGUUGUCGGCGGCCCGUCUUGAAACACGGACCAAGGAGUCUAACAUCUAUGCGAGUGUUCGGGUGUCAAACCCCUACGCGUAAUGAAAGUGAACGGAGGUGGGAACUUUUUGUGCACCAUCGACCGAUCCUGAUGUCCUCGGAUGGAUUUGAGUAAGAGCAUAGCUGUUGGGACCCGAAAGAUGGUGAACUAUGCCUGAAUAGGGUGAAGCCAGAGGAAACUCUGGUGGA
rnacentral:rRNA from 1 species